GAAAAAACCCGAUCUACAAUGGCGGAAACCGCCGUCGACGAAGCCGCUCGCCGCCGUGCUGCCGCCGUCAGCGACUACCGGAAAAAGAAUCUCCAUCACAAGGAGCUCAACUCCCGCCUCCGCACAGGGAGAGAAAAUUUGAGAGCUGCGAAAAAGGAGUUCACUAAAACUGAAGACGACUUAAAGUCCCUCCAGAGCGUGGGGCAGAUUAUCGGAGAAGUUCUCCGACCGCUUGAUAAUGAACGCUUGAUUGUUAAAGCUAGCA
rnacentral:misc_RNA from 1 species